AUCUUUAAGCAUCGUUUAAAAC
rnacentral:snRNA from 1 species